UACGUAGGGUGCAAGCGUUAAUCGGAAUUACUGGGCGUAAAGCGUGCGCAGGCGGUUUUGUAAGUCUGUCGUGAAAUCCCCGGGCUUAACCUGGGAAUGGCAUUUGUGACUGCACGGCUAGAGUGUGGCAGAGGGGGGUAGAAUUCCACGUGUAGCAGUGAAAUGCGUAGAUAUGUGGAGGAAUACCGAUGGCGAAGGCAGCCCCCUGGGAUAACACUGACGCUCAUGCACGAAAGCGUGGGGAGCAAACAGG
rnacentral:rRNA from 1 species